rnacentral:piRNA from 1 species
UUGCUUGCAGCAAUUAAGAUCUGGCCA